UUAUGCUAAAAAGAGCGUAUGGUGGAUGCCUUGGCACUAAGAGCCGAUGAAAGACGUGAUAAGCUGCGAAAAGCUUCGGGGAGGAGCAAAUAUCCAUUGAUCCGGAGAUUUCUGAAUGGGGAAACCUACUUGAGAAGACCUCAAGUAUCCUAACGCCAAUACAUAACGUUAGGAGGGGAACCCGGUGAACUGAAACAUCUAAGUAGCCGGAGGAAGAGAAAACAACAUGUGAUUCUGUGAGUAGCGGCGAGCGAAAACGGAAGAGCCCAAACCAGUGUGCGUGCAUGCUGGGGUUCGGACCGCGGAAUUGAUUCAAUGAGUUUAGCAGAAUGGUUUUGGGAAAGCCAGCCAGAGAGGGUGAAAGCCCCGUAAGCGAAAGACGAGUUGACAAGGCGGGAUCCAGAGUAGGUCGAGACACGAGAAACCUUGACUGAAUAAGCGGGGACCACCCCGUAAGGCUAAAUACUACUUAGUGACCGAUAGCGCAUAGUACUGUGAAGGAAAGGUGAAAAGGACCCCGGGAGGGGAGUGAAAGAGAACCUGAAACCAUAUGUUUACAAGCUGUGGAACCGCAUUAUUGGCGGAACCGCGUACUUUUUGUAGAACGGUCCGGCGAGUUACGCUGUCUGGCGAGGUUAAGCACUGCAGGUGUGGAGCCGAAGGGAAACCAAGUUUUAACUGAGCGAGAAGUCAGACGGAGUAGACCCGAAACCGGGUGAUCUAUCCAUGUCCAGGUUGAAGUUGCCGUAAAAGGCAAUGGAGGACCGAACCCACAUCCGUUGAAAAGGGUGGGGAUGAGGUGUGGAUAGGGGAGAAAUUCCAAUCGAACCCGGAGAUAGCUGGUUCUCCUCGAAAUAGCUUUAGGGCUAGCCUCAUACGAGUCUUGCGGAGGUAGAGCACUGAAUUUCCGCGGGGGCGUCAAAGCUUACCAAAGAAUAUCAAACUCCGAAUGCCGUGUAGAUGCUGUAUGGGAGUCAGACUGUCCGAGAUAAGUUGGAUGGUCAAAAGGGAAAGAGCCCAGACCUACGGCUAAGGUCCCAAAAUGUGUGUUAAGUGGAAAAGGAUGUGGGAUUUCGAAGACAACUAGGAUGUUGGCUCAGAAGCAGCCAUACAUUCAAAGAGUGCGUAAUAGCUCACUAGUCGAGAGGUCCUGCGCCGAAAAUGUCCGGGGCUGAAACACACUACCGAAGCCUGGGAAUCUUUUAGAAGAUUGGUAGAGGAGCAUUGCAUACGGGAAGAAGCUAUACCGGAAGGAGUAGUGGACUGUAUGGAAGAGAGAAUGCCGGAAUGAGUAGCGAGAGGAAGGUGAGAAUCCUUCCGGCCGAAUAUCUAAGGUUUCCAGAGUAAAGCUGAUCUGCUCUGGGUAAGUCGGGGCCUAAGGCAAGGUCGAAAGACGUAGUCGAUGGAUAACAGGUUGAAAUUCCUGUACUAUUUUAUGACAGAACUGUGGGGACGCAGGGAGAGAGCACGAGCCGGGAAUGGAAAGACCGGUGCAAGCGAGGUAUCCGUGAGGUAGGCAAAUCCGCCUCAUAAGGAGAAGACGUGAUGUGGACUGAACUAUAAGUAAGGAAGCGUGUGAGCUAACUGCCAAGAAAAGCCGCUAUUGUUCAUAAAAUACCCGUACCGUAAACCGACACAGGUGGAUGAGGAGAGAAUCCUAAGGCCGACGGGAGAAGCAUUGUUAAGGAACUCGGCAAAAUGACUCCGUAACUUCGGGAGAAGGAGUGCCUGGUGACAGGCCGCAGAGAAAUGGCCCAAGCAACUGUUUAGCAAAAACACAGGUCUAUGCAAAACCGAAAGGUGAGGUAUAUGGGCUGACGCCUGCCCGGUGCUGGAAGGUUAAGGGGAGAGGUUAGCGCAAGCGAAGCUUUGAACUUAAGCCCCAGUAAACGGCGGCCGUAACUAUAACGGUCCUAAGGUAGCGAAAUUCCUUGUCGGGUAAGUUCCGACCCGCACGAAAGGCGUAAUGAUUUGGGCACUGUCUCAACAAUGCACCCGGUGAAAUUGAAAUACCAGUGAAGAUGCUGGUUACCUGCGCCAGGACGGAAAGACCCCAUGGAGCUUCACUCCAGCUUGAUACUGGGAUUCGAUAUUGUAUGUACAGGAUAGGUGGGAGACUAGGAACCAAUGACGCCAGUUGUUGGGGAGUCGCUGUUGGGAUACCACCCUUGCAGUAUUGGGUUUCUAACCAGCGGCCCUGAUCGGGUCGGGGGACAAUGUCAGGUGGGGAGUUUGACUGGGGCGGUCGCCUCCGAAAGGGUAUCGGAGGCGCUCAAAGGUUCCCUCAGAAUGGUUGGAAACCAUUCGAAGAGUGCAAAGGCAGAAGGGAGCUUGACUGCGACACCGACGGGUGGAGCAGGUACGAAAGUAGGACUUAGUGAUCCGGUGGUAUAAAGUGGGAUUGCCAUCGCUCAACGGAUAAAAGCUACCCUGGGGAUAACAGGCUUAUCACUCCCAAGAGUUCACAUCGACGGAGUGGUUUGGCACCUCGAUGUCGGCUCAUCGCAUCCUGGGGCUGAAGUAGGUCCCAAGGGUUGGGCUGUUCGCCCAUUAAAGCGGUACGCGAGCUGGGUUCAGAACGUCGUGAGACAGUUCGGUCCCUAUCCGGCGUGGGCGUAAGAUAUUUGAGAGGAGCUGUCCUUAGUACGAGAGGACCGGGAUGGACUGGCCGCUGGUGUAUCUGUUGUUCUACCAAGAGCAUAGCAGAGUAGCCAAGCCGGGAAGGGAUAAACGCUGAAGGCAUCUAAGCGUGAAGCCCCCCUCAAGAUGAGAUAUCUCAUAACGUCAAGUUAGUAAGACCCCUUGAAGACGACGAGGUAGAUAGGGCAGAGGUGGAAGUGCAGUAAUGCAUGGAGCUGACUGUUACUAAUAGGUCGAGGGCAUAACCAA
rnacentral:rRNA from 1 species